AAUACGUAGGUGGCAAGCGUUGUCCGGAUUUAUUGGGCGUAAAGCGAGCGCAGUCGGUUCUUUAAGUCUGAUGUGAAAGCCCCCGGCUCAACCGGGGAGGGUCAUUGGAAACUGGAGAACUUGAGUGCAGAAGAGGAGAGUGGAAUUCCACGUGUAGCGGUGAAAUGCGUAGAUAUGUGGAGGUACACCAGUGGCGAAGGCGACUCUCUGGUCUGUAACUGACGCUGAGGCUCGAAAG
rnacentral:rRNA from 1 species